rnacentral:misc_RNA from 1 species
UCCGUGUUAACCACGGCAGUCUCCUUAGAGAGCCCAACUUAAUGCUGGCAACUAAGAACAAGGGUUGCGCUCGUUGCGGGACUUAACCCAACAUGUCACCACACGAGCUGACGACAGCCAUGCAGCACCUGUCUCCCGGCUGUAUUGCUACAGAAACCGUAUCUCUACGGCUGUCCGGGGAUGUCAAACCCAGGUAAGGUUUUUCGCGUUGCUUCGAAUUAAACCACAUGAUCCACCGCUUGUGCGGGCCCCCGUCAAUUCCUUUGAGUUUUAGUCUUGCGACCGUACUUCCCAGGCGGGGUACUUAGUGCGUUAGCGCCGAUUCGGCGGGGGUCAAGACCCACCAAAUCUAGUACCCAUCGUUUACAGCGUGGACUAC